CGGAAGAAAACUAUUUAAGACGCCUUCUCUUCUCUCUCUGGGCUUUGUGGCAGAACCAGGAACCAAUAGGGGGAGAAGCCGUCGCCGUAGCCUCGAUUCAGGUACGAUCGCCUAAGAUCCUCCGAUCAAUCUCUUCCUCUUGCUCAAUCUCACUCCUCUCCCUUCUUUUUCCAUACUUCUCCGAUCGAUUUGUGUUCCCCUGUGCCUUUUUCUACGGAUGUUCGCUUCUUCACUUCCAGUGUACAAACCCUACCCAGAUCUUUCUUUUUGGCAGUCGAUCGCUUCUUGGAAGAGAGUACUUUGGAGAAACAUGGCGUAAAAAUCGAAUUUUGAUGUUGGGUUUGGGAGUUGAGUAAGGGUUUUUCUCUCAGCGGGCUCGGUUUAGAAAAAGUAAAAAAGGAAAAGGGGUUUUGAGGGCGUUUGGAGAAGGUGGGAAGAUAAAGAUUGGGACUUUUGCUCGGAAGUAAUGGCGGACGGUGAGAAUAGUAUGGAUUUGAAUCUCUACGUCGGCCUCCCUCUUUUGCCCCGCCCUCGAAAUCCAGACCUCGGUUCGGACCUCACCCUCAGCUCGCCAACCUUCCAAAGAAACUACUCCCCAUCCAAUGCAUUGUAUACUCCUGAAUCACUGCCCAUCGACCCCCUUCAUGCUGCCGAUGAUAGCCUUGCUUUGGAGCUCAACCUUCCUGCUCGACUAGUGGAACAGGAGGGUCAUGCUUCAGAUUCUCCAAAUUCUGCUUCCUAUGCUCCUUCUUUGACUGGGCCGGUUCAACCUUCGGCCUCGCAUCCUACUGCCGGACGAAUUCUGCAAUGGCACGAUGAAGCAGCAGCCUCCAUCAAUCCAUGCCCAACCCUUUGCAUGAUCGACCUUAUGACCCGUAGUGAUAGCUCCAGCUCGCGACAUGGGCUCCUUGAAUGUCCGGAGCUACGUUUCCAGAGAUUGAUCGAAUCAAACAAUCGGUUACGGCCUCGAAGCUCCAGGAUGUCUGAUGGUGAGAGCUCCGAUUCGCACACCAGUCCUGCCCAGCUUAUGCACAAUAUAAUGCAGUCUCAAAGGAACUUAGAGGCUUCCAAAAAGGAAAACUUGCAAGGCCAGGGGAAGGGCACGGGGGGUUUGAAAAAGGAAAAGGUGGAGGAAAGUGCUUCCGAAUUUGAGUGCAAUAUUUGCCUUGAUACGGCCAAGGAACCGGUUGUUACCCCCUGUGGUCAUCUCUUUUGCUGGCGGUGUUUGUAUCAAUGGCUUCAUGCCAAUCCUGUCUUUCCUGAAUGCCCUGUUUGCAAGGGCAAGGUGCACGAAAAUAACAUAACACCUAUAUAUGGGAGGGGAGGUUCAGAUACUACUGUCAAGAAGAAGGUAUCUGGAGAAGAUGGAAACUUGGAACUGAAAAUACCGCCUCGACCCCAUGCACAUAGAACUGAGAGCUUGAGGCAGGAACUGCGGAGAUCUACGGGUAGAAGUUCGGUGGGAGAACGUGCGACAGCAUGGAGCCGUAUAGAAGAGUUGCGCAAUGCCAUUAACUUUGGAGAGGAUCUGGGCCCAAGCUUGCAGCUUCAAUUAAAUGCUUCUGAUGUUGUACAUAGGCUAAGCCAAUGGAGUAUGCAAAGGGAAGAGACGAGUGGGUCUAACACCACGGGCGUUCUUUUGCAUACUAUUACUGAACCACCUCAAAUUAAUUCUUCAAAUUCACUUACCAAUAAUGGCUUUGAUCGUUAUGCGAGUACUGGUAGGUUACGGGCUGAGCUGACACCGAGGUUUGCUGUUCGUAGUCCACUCCCACCUCUGAACUCUCACGGUCGCGAGCCACUGCAUCGGAGGCCUACUGUGCAAUCUACACCGACUACAGAGCAGGCAUCACCUCCGAGUACUGCAGCUGUGAUAACAGGCGAUGGUACUGCUACUGACAUCUCAGCAGAACCAAAUAGAGAAAGGUCAUCUAGAUCCCUUAGAAGAAGAGGAAGGAGCAGCAAUUCUGGUUCCUUGGAUGCAGUUGAAGGAGCAUCACCUUCGCAUAGGAGGAGAAGGCUGAACUAGAAAUAAUUAAGUGGCUAUGCUCAGAAAGUUUAGAUCAACUUCUUGGUAAAAUGCACUUGUCAAGGAUUUGAAAUUACUGGAACACAAGAUAAGAGAUUGGUGAUCCUUGCAACGCCAAGGAAUUCAAACCAUUCGAAUGCAUGCGGAAUGAAAGAUGGAGCUGUUGUAUAACAAGUACAACAACUUUCAUGAUCUGGAGCUGAACUGAUGUCCAGUCCCUAAAGAUUUUACAAGCAGGUUCAUAGGGGCUUCAGGCACAAAGCUCAGCAAUUCAUGGAACAACUAAAGUUGUGACAGCAUGAAGUUCCCGAUGGCCAAUCUUGGAAGAAGCCACUUGACUGCAGGUGUUGCUGACCACUACCUUCAUUGCUGUGGCUUAGGAAACGUUGAAGAAGAACCUCUGAAUUCUGAAAUCCUCCUUUGUCAUAUCUAUGAAUUCAAAGGAAGCAGAAAAUGCCAAAACCUAGCUGCCCCUCAAGAUGCUAGUACACCUGCUGCUUGAACUAAUCAUAUCUUGAUGCCGGUGCAAUAUGUGAUCUGAUGACUUGUUUCAUGUCGACGGUGGAAUUUUGGUCCAGUACCAUAGAGCAUUCUUUUAGAGCAAUCUCAUGGCUGGGGAUGGCAGGUCCUAGAGAUUGAUCGAAUCAAACAACCAGUUGCAGCUUAGAAGCUUCAGAUAAUCUGAUCCUGAUGACGGUGACGUAAUGCCAUAGCACAGAUCCUUGGAGGCUUCUAGGAAGAUGUGGGAAGAAACGCAUAUUAUAGAUAAAAGAGAUGUAUAAUAUUGUUACAUAUUGGUGAACGCAGGAGUUUCCCCUUGGGGGGCCAAUGUCAAAAUUACACAAGUUUGAAGUAAAAAAUUAAAAUUCUUGUAUCAUAUACGCACAAGUAUAUUCACUAGUAUAUAUGUAUUUUGUAGUUUAUCACAUUAUUUGAUACAUUUGGUGCAAUUCUGACGAUGGUGGUGACCACA